GCAGGGCUCCGGCCUCGGCCGCACCCCCGCCGGCUCGCCGCCGCCGCCUCCCCACAGCGGACUAGUCUGCGAGGGCGGCGACCAGCCCGGCUUAUUUAAAAGGGGUGGGGACCCGACAAGCGCUGGGAGACGCAGCCACUGCGGGCCGAGAGCGCGGCCGGAGCUCCUCCUCCUUCCGUCGCCGCCUCCAGACUGAAGGCCGCUAGCCGGCUCCUGCCAACCGGAACGCGUCCCGCGGUCACCUGGUGACGGGCAGCCAAUCAGACUCGGACUUCCCUCCACGCGCCCGCCUACGGCCCAGGCACGUGACUCACAAAGCCCCGCCCCAUCCCUCAAGCCGCGCGGCGCGGACUCGGGUUUCCAUUCAUCGUGGGCAGCUGGGGGGCCGGAGGGGGGUCCUCGGGGGUGAGCUGCGGCAGUUCGCUGCUCGAGGCUGCGCUUCGAGGCGGGCCCCGAAGGCCAGGCUUGGUGGAGCGCUGGUUCUGUCAGCAGCCGGGCUUCUCCAUGUCUGACAGCUUCCCUUUGCUCACCCAAAGCACCUGCCAGGCUUCUGCCAGAACUAUGUGAGAGAUUCUGGACAUUGCCUGGCAUGACAGAAAAUAAAGG